CAGAGCAUUUGGAGGAGCCAGACUUGUUGAAAGGAAAGGCUAACUGAAGAAUUUCAAACAUGAUGAUUUCCUGAGCUAUUUGAGGCCCAGACAGAUAGGUUUGAUUUGAGUUUCAAAAUAUUUCUGUAAGUUGGAACAAAAAGACAGACGCUGCCUGACCUGCUGAGUUUCUCCAGCAUUUUGUGUGUGUUGCCGUGGAUCUCUAGCAUCUGCAGAAUUUUUUGUGUUUCUGAGUUGUAGAAUCCUUGAAAGUGAGUCUAUAGGCUCUGGAACCAGAUGCGAUUCGAGAUGUUGACAAGCAACAUUGUCAAAUGUAUUCAAGUAUUACCGACAAAGACUUGUCCAUCCACUGAAGAAUGAAGAACAGUGGGAAAGAACGGAAAGGAACAUGAAAUGUUAUUUAAAGUCAAGAGAAAGCAAAGAUAUUACAGAACUAUCUUCAUUUUUAAACACGAUUUUGUUUGUAUUUUUGUUUAUUUGUAUGAGAGAAAAAAACUCGAGAUAAGAAAUCAAGAAAGGAAUUUUGUUCUUUGGACAGAGAAGUAAGAAUAUAAAUUAAUAAGAAAAAGAGCAUGGGCAGGUAAUGCAGCCAUUCAGUAUGUUCCACCAUUUAAUAAAUUUGUGUCUGUAUUCCUGCAUGAACUUUACCUUCCUGCCCAUCACAACAUCAUUUGAUUCCUGUACAGGUUCACCCCAGGUUACAGCAGUAUGCAAGUCAGACAUGCAGCCGUAACCCAGAUCCAAGGCAGCAAGAUACUUCCAGAUCUGUGUAUAAAUUCACUCAACUUAUUUCUAACCUUCUAGCAUCUACUUUAUGUCCAUGUUGCGUGUCUUUGACCACUCUGUUUAGGGAAGUAACUUAUUUCUAUUUUGCUUUAAAAAGACCUCUCACAAUUUUAUACCUCACUAAUUACCUCUGCACACCACUCCAUUCCAAAGGGCCUGAGUCCACUCAGUCUUUCCUCAUAGCUGUAAUAUUCAAGGUCUCCAAUAGCUUUGCAAAUCUCCUUUGCACCCUCUCAAGCACAUUACACCUUUCCUUCAAUAUUGUGACCAGAACUGUACAAAAUACUUAAGCUGUAGUCCAGCUAGUGCUGAAUACAGUAUAACCUCCUAAUACUUAACUAUAAUGACUCUGCCAAAAAAGCAUUGUCUCUUUUACCAUUUUAUUGACCAUACUACUAAUUUUAAGAGUCUGUGGAUAUAGAUGGACUAUAAAUGGGCCCUCUCUCCUCAACAGCUUUCAAUAUCUUUCCAUUAAUUGUGUAUUGUCUUGUCUUGUGGUGCAUGCCCAGAUGCAACACCUCACGCUACUCUAGAUUAAAUUCUGUUUGCCAUCUUUCUGCCCAUUUAGACAAACCAACUAUACAAAAGAGCUGAUCAUGGAUUACAGGAAGGACAGAGACAGGCACUACAGUUGAGAGGGCCACUGAAGAAGUUCGGCAUGAAUCCCCAAAUCCUCAAGACCUUCUACAGGGGCACCAUUGAGAGCAUCCUGAUUGGCUGUAUCACCACCUGGUACGGGAACUGCACCAACCUUGAUUGCUGGGCACUGCAGAGAGUGGCACGAACAGCACAGUGCAUCUGUGGAUGUGAACUUCCCUCCAUUGAGGACAUUUACUGCAGCAGGUGCAUAAAGGAGGCCUGGAAGAUCAUUGGAGACACCAGUUACCCCAACCAUAAACUGAGUCAGCAGGUUCUAUCUGGCAAAUGGUACCAGAGUAUUAAAGCCAGGACCAACAGGCCAUGGGACAGCUUCUUUCUACAAGCUAUUAGACUUAUAAAUUCACAUGUCUAUACAUUGCGACGGAGUCAUAAUGCAAAGAAUUUUACUCCCUCAUGUUGUGGGAUGGAUGUAAGAUUUAAAUAAAUUCAA